rnacentral:rRNA from 1 species
UAUUGCACAAUGGGCGCAAGCCUGAUGCAGCCAUGCCGCGCGUAUGAAGCAGGCCUUUGGGUUGUAAAGUACUUUCAGCGGGGCGGAAGGGAGUAAAGUUAAUACCUUUGCUCAUUUACGUUACCCUCAGAAGAAGCACCGACUAACUCCGUGCCAGCAGCCGCGGUAAUACGGAGGGUGCAAGCGUUAAUCGGAAUUACUGGGCGUAAAGCGCACGCAGGCGGUUUGUUAAGUCAGAUGUGAAAUCCCCGGGCUCAACCUGGGAACUGCAUCUGAUACUGGCAAGCUUGUGUCUCGUAGAGGGGGGUAGAAUUCCAGGUGUAGCGGUGAAAUGCGUAGAGAUCUGGAGGAAUACCGGUGGCGAAGGCGGCCCCCUGGACGAAGACUGACGCUCAGGUGCGAAAGCGUGGGGAGCAAA